AGGAAGGGAAGGGACCGAGGCUCAGCUAAGGCUCAAAGUGGUUUGUAACAGUGUUCAUCUGGCGCCAGGGAGCACAGUUGGAACUGCUUCUAUGAGUCUUCGUUUCUAAGGCUUCCUGAGAAAGAUAAGAGAAGGCACAGAAAGGGUCAUGACCUGCUAAACAAGUACGUGUGCUUUAAACCAUCAUGGUAUGAUGUCUCAAGGUGGAACUUUCCAUUAAGGAAGUCAUAGUCUAGUGAUGGAAACUGGCAAGAAAAGAAAUCAUUGUAAUAUAAAGCAAUAAGAGCAUGUAUAGAUUGUAUGCACCAAGUGGAGAAGCAGUCUAGAGGAGAUAACUAAACUUUUUUAAAAGGAGGAUUAGAAUGUUGUCAGAUGAGGAUAUAAAAGAAUUUUCUGCCAAGAAGCUGGACAAAACAAGUUGCCAGGAGGACAAAUGGCUCAAAAGGGGAUGAGAAAGUAUCUCCUAUGAAAAUACCUGGACACUCCUUGAACUUCAAAGUGGAAAUGUGCAGCCUUUAGUGUUGUAUCUAAACUGACAUAGUGGAGCCUGCCUGUAAUCUCAGCUCUUAGAGAGGCUGACGCAGAAAGAUUGCAAGUUGGAGCUCAGCCUGGACAACUUAGCAAGACCUUGUUUGAAAGUAAAAAUAAAAAACAAAAAGUGAUCUGGAAAUGUAGCUCAGCAUGAAGGCCUUGGGAUCAAUCCCCAGCACUCCAAGGGGAGAAGAAAAAUAGUAUACCUUUGGUAAAUUGGCUGCAAAUUCUGGAGGACAAGAUGUGCUCACCACAAUGAUGUGUACCUCUUUACAAACCUUUUCUUUGACCAUGCCUACCCUAUUAAAAGGAUUAAAAGUACCAGCCAA